rnacentral:rRNA from 1 species
AGAGUUUGAUCCUGGCUCAGAACGAACGCUGGCGGCAGGCCUAACACAUGCAAGUCGAACGAGCUGAGGCCUUCGGGUCUCGAUGCUAGUGGCGCACGGGUGAGUAACGCGUGGGAACGUACCCUUUAGUACGGAAUAACCCAGGGAAACUUGGGCUAAUACCGUAUACGCCCUUCGGGGGAAAGAUUUAUCGCUAAAGGAUCGGCCCGCGUCUGAUUAGGUAGUUGGUGAGGUAACGGCUCACCAAGCCGACGAUCAGUAGCUGGUCUGAGAGGAUGAUCAGCCACACUGGGACUGAGACACGGCCCAGACUCCUACGGGAGGCAGCAGUGGGGAAUAUUGGACAAUGGGCGAAAGCCUGAUCCAGCCAUGCCGCGUGAGUGAAGAAGGCCUUCGGGUUGUAAAGCUCUUUCGGCGGGGACGAUGAUGACGGUACCCGCAUAAGAAGCCCCGGCAAACUUCGUGCCAGCAGCCGCGGUAAUACGAAGGGGGCUAGCGUUGUUCGGAAUUACUGGGCGUAAAGCGCACGUAGGCGGUGUUCUUUGUCAGAGGUGAAAGCCUGGGGCUCAACUCCAGAAUUGCCUUUGAAACGGGAAUGCUUGAGUCCGAGAGAGGAUGGCGGAAUUCCUAGUGUAGAGGUGAAAUUCGUAGAUAUUAGGAAGAACACCAGGCGAAGGCGGCCAUCUGGCUCGGUACUGACGCUCAGGUGCGAAAGCGUGGGGAGCAAACAGGAUUAGAUACCCUAGUAGUCC